rnacentral:rRNA from 1 species
AGUGAACGCUGGCGGUAGGCCUAACACAUGCAAGUCGAACGGCAGCACAGUAAGAGCUUGCUCUUACGGGUGGCGAGUGGCGGACGGGUGAGGAAUACAUCGGAAUCUACUUUUUCGUGGGGGAUAACGUAGGGAAACUUAUGCUAAUACCGCAUACGACCUACGGGUGAAAGCAGGGGAUCUUCGGACCUUGCGCGACUGAAUGAGCCGAUGUCGGAUUAGCUAGUUGGCGGGGUAAAGGCCCACCAAGGCGACGAUCCGUAGCUGGUCUGAGAGGAUGAUCAGCCACACUGGAACGGAGACACGGUCCAGACUCCUACGGGAGGCAGCAGUGGGGAAUAUUGGACAAUGGGCGCAAGCCUGAUCCAGCCAUACCGCGUGGGUGAAGAAGGCCUUCGGGUUGUAAAGCCCUUUUGUUGGGAAAGAAAAGCAGCAGGUUAAUACCCCGCUGUUCUGACGGUACCCAAAGAAUAAGCACCGGCUAACUUCGUG